rnacentral:rRNA from 1 species
UACAGAGGGUGCAAACGUUGCUCGGAAUUAUUGGGCGUAAAGCGCGCGUAGGCGGUUACUCAAGUCGGAUGUGAAAGCCCUCGGCUUAACUGAGGAAGUGCACCCGAAACUGAGUAGCUAGAGUACUAAAGAGGGUCGCGGAAUUCCCGGUGUAGAGGUGAAAUUCGUAGAUAUCGGGAGGAACACCGGUGGCGAAGGCGGCGACCUGGGUAGAUACUGACGCUGAGGCGCGAAAGCGUGGGGAGCAAACAGG